GUCGAUUUAGCAGAGUAUUUGAAUCUAAGGCUAGUUAAACCGUUUGGUUUUCGACCACUAGGACCCGGGUUCGAUUCCCGCAUUGGACA